UACGUAGGUGGCAAGCGUUGUCCGGAUUUACUGGGCGUAAAGAGCGCGCAGGCGGUCGUUCAAGUCGCGUGUGAAAGCCCCCGGCUCAACUGGGGAGGGUCACGCGAUACUGAUCGACUCGAAGGCAGGAGAGGGUAGUGGAAUUCCCGGUGUAGUGGUGAAAUGCGUAGAUAUCGGGAGGAACACCAGUGGCGAAGGCGAGUCUCUGGGCUGUAUCUGACGCUGAUGCGCGAAAGCUAGGGGAGCAAACGGG
rnacentral:rRNA from 1 species